rnacentral:lncRNA from 1 species
AGCCGUGGGAAAGUCCCCAUCGACCUUCAAAGCAGCAUUUAACGCCUUUUUGAGAUAGGUGAGAACUUUUCUUCUUUAUUCAUUCAAAAUAAUCCAGCCUAGAAAAGGUUUAUCUGUUGUCAAUCUCACUGGAUCUCAGUUCGACAUAAGAUUCUUAAAGAUUUGAAUCGUCGGGAACUCUUCCAUCUCUGUUCUGGUGAUUCGUGGUUUUAUUCGAUAAGAAUUCCCUGAUAGAUGAGCACAUGAUGUACAUCACUGAGGUAGAAGAAGACCACCACUGGGUCAUGCAUUUGGCUGGCGCUCUGAACGAUGCAAGAAAAAAAAGGCAUAAAUAGAAGUCGAUUCCACUUUUUUGUCCUGCUGAAAAAGCUUAGUAAACCGGUCUUCUGAAUUCCCUCUGCUUUUCCCUCACCUACCUGGAUCAGUGGAUUCUCCGGAUUCAGCAGGAUUCGGCUUCGUAUGAAGUGUCUGCGGAUUACUAAGCCGUGCGUGGAUCGAGAUCUUAGGAUCUAGCUAGAUAAGACUUAUUACACCUUGAAAAACGGCAGAACGAGACCCUUUAAUAAUAUAAGGAAAUAGUAGUAGUUAUAGUAACUUUUAAAAAAUAUAUUGCGAAGAGCAUCACCUCAGUGAUGCACGAAAGACUUUAAUCACGCGGAUUAUGCCUACCGUCGGCUAUUGAUGAAGAUAAGGCACACGAAGCCCCGGUCUAGCACUACGAUGGAAACAGGAUGUCUGCCUUUGUGAGUACCUAUCUUCUUAUAGGAAAUUGCUAUUCAACAAAAUAGAAGAUUGCAAAGAUUCAGCCUUAGUAUUAGUAGAAGUGGGUAGCGGCACAGACGGUCUAUCCCCCUUUAACUUAAGUAGUAUUUCCAAUUUACUCUCUGUCUCUAAAA